rnacentral:rRNA from 1 species
CACGUAGGGCGCAAGCGUUGUCCGGAAUUAUUGGGCGUAAAGAGCUCGUAGGCGGUCCGUCACGUCCGCUGUGAAAACCCAGGGCUCAACCCUGGGCUUGCAGUGGAUACGGGCAGACUAGAGGUAGGUAGGGGAGAAUGGAAUUCCCGGUGUAGCGGUGAAAUGCGCAGAUAUCGGGAGGAACACCGGUGGCGAAGGCGGUUCUCUGGGCCUUACCUGACGCUGAGGAACGAAAGCUAGGGGAGCAAACAGG